rnacentral:rRNA from 1 species
AUGCGCGCAACUGUGCUGGGUGCCAUCUCAUCUAUAGAGCCAGACCAGGUUGGCUGGGCACCUGGGCCUAAGCGUCGUUUCACUACUAAGUCCAUGUACAAACUCCUUGAAAGCAAUCUUGCAGGAUGUGACUAUCGGUGGAUCUGGAAAGCUAAUAUUCCCCUUAAGAUCAAAAUCUUUAUGUGGCAGUUAUUUCAAGAUGCGGUCUUAACUAGAGAUGUUAUGAAACGGCGAAACUGGCCUGGUAAUGCUAAAUGUUCUUUUUGUGCUGCUCGUGAGACGUCACAACACCUUUUCUUCCUAUGCCCUAUUGCUAGAGUCAUCUGGCGAUCGGUGGGAGCGGUCCAUCUCAGUCUGCGAGGAGGCUCGUUCAUCUCAGUCUCAGCCACUUGA